ACGGCUCAGUAACACGUCGACAAUCUGCCUUUAGGCCAGGGAUAACGUCGGGAAACUGACGCUAAAACCUGAUAGAGGAUUUCUACUGAAAUGUGUUUUCCUUCAAAGCUUCGGCACCUAAAGAUGAGUCGGCGGCUGAUUAGGCCGUUGGUGAGGUAACGGCUCACCAAACCUUUGAUCAGUAGGGGGGAUGGAAGUCCUAACCCCGAGAAGGGCACUGAGAUACUGGCCCUAGUCCUAAGGGAUGCAGCAGCCACGGGACCUUUACAAUGCACGAAAGUGUGAUAAGGGGAUUCCAAGUGCUUUACCACACGGUAAGGCUUUUGCUAAGCGAAAACAACUUGGCGAAUAAGUGGUGGGUAAGACCGGUGCCAGCAGCCGCGGUAAUCCCGGCGCCACAAGUGGCAAUCAUUAUUAUUGGGUCUAAAGCAUCCGUAGCUGGUUUAGUUAGUUUUCUGUGAAGUUGUUAGGCUUAACCUAACAACGUGCAGGAAAUACUGCUAGACUUGAGACCGGGAGGGGAUAGAAGUAUUCCUGGGGGAGCGGUAAAAUGUGUUAAUCCUAGGAGGACUACCUAUGGCGAAGGCAUCUAUCCAGAACGGGUCUGACAGUGAGGGAUGAAGGCUAGGAGAACGAUCGGGAUUAGAUACCCCAGUAGCCCUAGCAGUAAACGCUGUGAGCCAUGUGUUGCAUAUUCUCCGGAAUGUGCAGUGCCGAAGCGAAGGCAUUAAGCUCACCACCUGGGAAGUACGGUCGCAAGAUUGAAACUUAAAGGAAUUGGCGGGGGAGCAC
rnacentral:rRNA from 1 species